rnacentral:lncRNA from 1 species
UCUGGGUAUAAGUACCCAAAUAAAUUGGUGAACUAUUAUUAAUGCUCUUAUAUUCUUAAGUUAAUUUAGGUUGGAUGAGAAAAGUGUACAUUGGAAGACCUUGCAAACAAUGUUUUAAUCUGCCGUUUUAUAUGAUGUUUCAACAUGUAUAUAUAUUAUUAAAAUUAUAUGUUAAUUAUCCUAUAUAGUUUUUAUGUUCUUUUAUUUUUCUAAUAAAAAGAUAUUUCAAUUUUUCCCUAGACAAAAAUCUCCAUUUGUAUCUAAACAUGAUUCUCAUGUCCAUAUUCCCACAAC